rnacentral:rRNA from 1 species
AACGAACGCUGGCGGCAUGCCUAACACAUGCAAGUCGAACGAUUGCCUUCGGGUGAUAGUGGCGCACGGGUGCGUAACGCGUGGGAAUCUGCCCUUAGGUUCGGAAUAACAGCUGGAAACGGCUGCUAAUACCGGAUGAUAUCGCGAGAUCAAAGAUUUAUCGCCUGAGGAUGAGCCCGCGUUGGAUUAGGUAGUUGGUGGGGUAAAGGCCUACCAAGCCGACGAUCCAUAGCUGGUCUGAGAGGAUGAUCAGCCACACUGGGACUGAGACACGGCCCAGACUCCUACGGGAGGGAGCAGUGGGGAAUAUUGGACAAUGGGCGCAAGCCUGAUACAGCAAUGCCGCGUGAGUGAUGAAGGCGCUAGGGUUGUAAAGCUCUUUUACCCGGGAAGAUAAUGACGGUACCGGGAGAAUAAGCCCCGGCUAACUCCGUG